AUUACGGUCUAUACUGGAAAGUAUCCUCACCGAAGCAAUGUAUGAGGUACCAGAUAGCAUGACGGGAGGAUCACAGAGUAUAAAGGCGGUUCUGGUGGAUGAAGAGGCUGUUGGUUUAGUUGGAACCCAAGGAUGUGGUGCCAAAAUUCUUAAAGGAGAUGAUGUGUCGCAACAAUUUGGUGAAGAAACAGAAUCAAAGGAAAAGAGAAAGGAGGAUGAAGCUAAGAGAGCUCUGAGCUUGUAGCCGAGCUGAUGAAAUAUGAGAGGUGUGAGUAUUGUUAGAUAUAUAGUGCAUGAAUGAUCUCAGUCGGCAAAGCUUAGUAGUUUCAGUGUUCAGAUUCAUUAACAAAGAGAUAAAAGAGUAAAACAGUAUAAGCGGAGAGCACUCUCAAUUGUGCUAGUUGGAUAAGUUGUGAAUAAUAUGUGUGAACCUGUGAGGAAGGCACUCUAUAUUGUACGAGCUUAGAUGAAUUGUAAGAACUAAGAUGCUAUUAUACAGUAUCUAUUUUGUUACUUCUA